rnacentral:rRNA from 1 species
AUUGUUGAUCCUGGCUCAGGAAUGAACGCUAGCGGCAGGCCUAAUACAUGCAAAGUCGAGCGGCAAGUCGAGGAGUAAUCUAAGACCUAGAGCGGCGCACGGGUGCGUAACGCGUAUGCAACCUACCUCAUACAGGGGGAUAGCCCGGAGAAAUCUGGAUUAAUACCCCAUGGUACUGCGAAGAGGCAUUUCUAUGCAGUUAAAGAUUCAUCGGUAUGAGAUGGGCAUGCGUCUGAUUAGCUGUUGGCGGUGUAACGGACCACCAAGGCGACGAUCAGUAGGGGUUCUGAGAGGAAGGUCCCCCACACUGGCACUGAGAUACGGGCCAGACUCCUACGGGAGGCAGCAGUAGGGAAUAUUGGGCAAUGGACGAGAGUCUGACCCAGCCAUGCCGCGUGCAGGAAGACGGCGUUCUGCGUUGUAAACUGCUUUAUCUGGGAAGAAAAGGCCCAUGCGUGGGACAUUGCCGGUACCAGAUGAAUAAGCACCGGCUAACUCCGUGCCAGCAGCCGCGGUAAUACGGAGGGUGCAAGCGUUGUCCGGAUUUAUUGGGUUUAAAGGGUGCGUAGGCGGCUAUUUAAGUCAGCGGUGAAAGACAUCGGCUCAACCGAUGCAGUGCCAUUGAUACUGGAUAGCUUGAGUGUUGGAGGGGUACAUGGAAUUGAUGGUGUAGCGGUGAAAUGCAUAGAUACCAUCAGGAACACCGAUAGCGAAGGCAUUGUACUGGCCAACAACUGACGCUGAGGCACGAAAGCAUGGGGAGCGAACAGGAUUAGAUACCCUGGUAGUCCAUGCCGUAAACGA